rnacentral:rRNA from 1 species
UUGCCAGCCCGCUCAGAAACUCAAAGGAAUUGACGGGGCCCGCACAAGCGGAGGAACAUGUGGUUUAAUUCGAUGAUACGCGAGGAACCUUACCCGGGCUUGAAAUGCAUCUGGCGUCCCGAGAGAUCGGGAUUUCCCACGGGACAGAUGCGUAGGUGCUGCAUGGUUGUCGUCAGCUCGUGCCGUGAGGUGUCGGCUUAAGUGCCAUAACGAGCGCAACCCCUACCGUUAGUUGCCAUCAGGUCAAGCUGGGGACUCUAACGGGACUGCCAUCGUAAGGUGCGAGGAAGGUGGGGAUGACGUCAAAUCAGCACGGCCCUUACGUCCGGGGCGACACACGUGUUACAAUGGGUGGUACAAAGGGCAGCUACAUGGCGACAUGGUGCCAAUCUCCAAAACCACUCUCAGUUCGGAUCGGAGUCUGCAACUCGACUCCGUGAAGCUGGAUUCGCUAGUAAUCGCGCAUCAGCCACGGCGCGGUGAAUACGUUCCCGGGCCUU